CUUGGGAUGUAUCUCAAAUCCAGGGAUGCUCCCUGCCCUGCAGUGUGCCUGGUAGAACUGGGAUGUGCUCCAUUGAAUUUAUAGCUGUCAGUGCUGUUAGCUGGCACUGAGCAGGCUCCUGUGCUUGCCAUGGGGGGCACUCCCCAGACUGUAUUAGAGUCCAGUGCUAGUUAGUGGAUGCUUUUUGCUUUCACUGCUGCUCUAGUGCUUAUCACCUCUCUGGAUCAUGCCUGGGAACACUUUGAUAACAGCCUUUGCUGGGCUGGGCUGGCAGGGGGCCAGGGCAGUGCUGCUGUGUGUGUGCUGGACAGGCUGGAACUCCAGUCUGAACCUGAGCUGAAGGGACUGAGACGUGUGGAGGAGCCCACAAGGGAGCACAGAGCCACCUGCAGGGGGAUGCCUGGAGGAGGAUGACCCUCAUGGGGCCUGUGCUGGAACAGGUUUGCUGCAGCACCUGUGACCCCUGGGAGAUCUAAGCUGGAGCAGUUGCAGGAGAAGCCUCCCAAGAAGCAGUUGCAAGGCAGCAGUGACCUGAGCUGAGCUGCUUUUGGUGCCCAAUAACUCCCCCCACCCAGCACCUCUGCUGUCCUGAGUGACCACCAGAACAGAUGGAGCCCAAAGUCAUGGACUAAAUGAAUGCAACAAGGAUUUUGUUGAUGCUUUA